CAUCAGUCAAGGCUGCCGGAGGGUUGUUUUCACGAGUUCUCUCAAAUGCUGCAGGAGCUUAGGAACAGGUGACCUGAACUUGAGACUUCCUGACCUGGUCUCUGAAUGAAAUAAGAGGAGGUGACAGGCUCUGUACCAGCAACUUUUGUGUCCCCUGAGGGUGGGGAUCCUGUGAGGCCGGGGAAGCACAAUUGUCCUGUCCCUGGGCACGAGGCCAGCUGCAGCGAGACAGGUUCACAGGUGGAGGGGUGAUCACGGAAGGGCGUGCCCGGGCUUUGGAAAACUGGAGAAAGUUGGUCCUUGGAUGGGGUGUGGAAAGAACAUGAGCUAUGGGUGGGGAGGAGCCAGGAUGAUUGACAGCUCUGAGCAGUGAAGGAAAAACUGUCUCCCCAAGUAGAGAUCUGAGGUUUCCACAGUACAGUAGGAGCUGAGUCUGUCACAUGGACUGGGUGGUCACCUGGCACAUUCCAGCAAAAGUGCUGCCCCCUGGAAGCCAAGGCCAUCCAUGCAGUUGAGCCAGUGGCCACUACAAGAUUUUGAAUUUUGAGGCAAUGAUUCCACAAAGGGCAUUAUAAACAGUUUGCAUCCACUUGCCUUCCUAGAAAACAGGAGCUGCCUUCGAGAUCUGUUCUGGCAUUGGAAGCAUCCCAAGGUUUCCAGGGUGUGAAUACUGACUUGUCAACCAAAGGGCACGCUCCUCAUUCUCUCAAUGCCUAUCCUGCCUCUUCCAACCCAGGGUUGUGCCACCAUUUUAUCCAUUAAGCCCAGCCCCUGCCUUGUCAGUCCCACCCCAAUACACCAAGGACACUGAACUGGGGUUCUGCAGCAUCUUUGCUGAAAAAAAAUGAAAGGAUAGUUUCAAUCCCAUAGCCCCUGUCAUCACCUCUCAUCACACUCUACUGCCAUGAUCUCCUGAAGCAUGUGAACCUCCGUGACCUCCCUCACAAAUGUCCCCAGGCAUUGCUGAUGUGGCUGCAUAGCAUGGAUGGUCAGGAGACUGUCCAGUGAAUCUUGCAAACUCCUCCUCCCCCAACCUCAGCCAGGAGAUCACUCCUGGGUGAAGUCCUCCCAUCUCAAGCACAGUGAGGCUGUGGGUUGCAGGCUUCAGGACUGGCAUUCCUCUUGGGUAAAGCUUGCCCAUCUGCCACUCAAGAAGACUUUGAAAGUUUGAGUGGGGACCUCAUCUUAUUUACCUUGUCUUCAGUGCCCAGGAUGGUGUAAACAACACCCAGCACAUGUGGUAGGCUGAAUGGAAUGAGCUAACGGAACAGUCAAUGCCCUGACUAGCCCCACUUCCCCCUGAGGAACAGAGCAUUUUGCCUCUCACUAAGUGACUUUCACAAUUCCCCCAUAAGGCCUAGUCUAAGGACACAUAAUUCUUGUCUUGCUGACAGUUCCCAACAGGAUCCUAGAGAGGCUGUUGGUGUGCUAUGGAGAAUACCCCAAACCUCUUCCUUGCCCAUCUCGCUUACAGAGUUGAGCUGCCAGAAGCCAGUCCAGAGCUCGCACUCUGGGCUCAGAGAUCCCCAGUGCCUAUCAGUCUAUUCACCUUCCAGCUCAUGUGAGAACUGUGAAGCCUCCACUUCCUCAAAUACCCACAGCACUGGGCUUUUGCGGGUUGUGAAUGAGAGAAGGCAAGUAAAGCAUUACCCAGGGAACCACACUGUAAUUAGUUCUUAGUACAUGGUGGUGACUCUCCCUUAUUUUCAUUAACACCACCACCAUCUUUAUCGUGUGAAGUGUCCUAGAAACACCAGCACAUUAAUAAUUAGAAGACAUAGGACCUAUAUGGCAGGCCACUGCCUGGCUCCAAUGUGCAGGUAGGAGAUGAGGCCUGUUUCCAGUACCCCAGGAUUGGUAUUGGGGAGCUCAGGGGUGGGACGAGAGGGAGGGACACCCCCAUGUUGUGCGUUCUGAAUUCCAAAAACCUUGAAGUUCAUUCUGAAGCCGAAGGGUGGCAGGGAUGGCAUCACUUUACUCUGGUGAUAUCAAUGGUUCCUGCUCAGCACUUUGUAUACCAUUUUCCUGAAAGCUUGGGAAAAAAGAUGUCGGUAAUAAGGGCUUUAUGGAGAAAAAUGUAACAAGAUUGAAGGGACUGAGCCCAGAUGUCUUUAAAAUGACUAAUAUCAGAGCAGAUGUCCAUAGCUCAGGAAAGUGGGCUGUGAAGUCAGGUGAAACAAGGAAAGAGAUCAUAUGGUUGAUGGAGAUACGAGAGGCAAACAGCAAGUUGUCCCUCCACUUGAGUCUGCCGUCCCAUCGCGUCAGCUGAGGAAGCUGACACUAGUGGGAAAUGUCCGAUGAGAUUUCCACAGAAACUGCGAAGACCCUAAUAUCCUGAAGGGGAGGGGCUGUUGAUGAGCUCAUUGAGAGGAGAACUGUGAAAGGACCACAACCUUGUCAGAAUUGGACAUCUCCCCAAUCCAGAAUAAGGAAGGGACGAGAAAGGCAGAGCAGUAGAUGGAGCAGAUGUGCAUAGAGCUCACAGUGAUGCUCAAUUGGAUUAGACUCACUUACCUUAGAAGUGUCCAAGUGUGCCUUGGCAAUCGUUGCCUCAUAGGUAUUCAUUCAUCCAUCCAUCUAGCCAUCCAUCCAUCCAUCCAUCAUCCACCAUCCAUCGUGCACACAUCCACAAGCCAUCCAUCCACCAUUUAUUCAUCCAUUCAUCUAUCCCUCAUCUGUUCAUCCAUUCAUUCACCAUCCAUCCAUUAUCCAUCCAUCCAUCAUCCUUCCAUCCAUCUAGCCAUUCAUCCAUUCAUCCAUCCAUCCAUCCAUCCACCUAUUUAUCCACCAUGCAUCCCUCAUCUAUCCAUCCAUCCAGUCGUCUACUCAUCUAUACACUAUCCAGCCAGGCAGCCAUCAUCCAUCCCUCCUCCCACUAUCCAUUCAAAAUCCUGUCAUUUAUCCCCCAUCCAUGCAACAUCUAUCCAUCCUUCCAUACAUUGAUCUAUCUAUCCAUCUACUCAUCUAUCCACUAUCCAUCCAUCACCCACCUAACCACCAUCCAUCCAUCCACCCACCAUCCAUCCACCAUCCUUCCAUCCUUUCACCAUACAUUCACUACCUACUAUCAAUCCAUCCACCUACUAUCCACCCACCAUCCUUCAGUCCUUCCAUCAACCAUCCACUAUCCAUUCAUCCACCCACCCACCCACUAUCCAUUUAUUCACCAUCUCUCUAUCCAUUUACUAGGUAAUUUGGGAACAUAGGAUAAAAAUUAUUAUGACUGUGUUGCCGGCCCUUCCUCUGCCCUGACACUAUUGAGGGCUCCAGAUCCUCUAAACCAUUACCAUUGUCAAGCUCUGUCCCCUGAAAUCAAGUGCAGUUUUGUUCCGAUGAUGAGCACACAUACUCAUGCUAUUCCCAAGAUCUUGGACAUGGCCACCCACCAGGAUCUGGUUUCCCAGCACCAGCUCCUGCCUCAUCCCUGUGUCUUCUGCGGCUCACGUUCCUUGAGAGGCUGAGGUUAAAUCUCAGGACUGAAUGAAACAAUCCUUUCAUGGGUGAGGGAGAGGGAAGAUCCAGACAUGGGCAUAUACCAGAGAAAAGGCAAAGAGAGGGGACCACUUGUCUCCUCAGGCCCAGGUGGACAAGAGUUAGGCUGGAAAGCUGACAAUCACCCAGAGAGGAAAGGUGGACAUGGGGAGACAAAUGGGCAGAGAGGGGGAAGAAACGCUGGACUCUUUAGUGGGAGGUGAGGUGUUAGGGAGGCCUGGAGCCCAAGGCCGAGUGUCAGGGCGGUCCAGGUCACAAAAAUACCAAGAAGAGGCACAGAGGGGUCCCAGGGAGGUGAGGCUGUGAUGGUCCCCGUGUAGGGACUGGGAACUUGGUGUCAUCUAGAUAUUUGCAGACCUCAAAUAUUGUUUCAACAGCACUAUGGAUUUUGGAAAUUUAUAACAUGUUUGAUAAUAAUGUGUUUGACUUUUAA